rnacentral:rRNA from 1 species
UACGUAGGGUGCAAGCGUUAAUCGGAAUUACUGGGCGUAAAGCGUGCGCAGGCGGCUUUGCAAGACAGAUGUGAAAUCCCCGGGCUUAACCUGGGAACUGCAUUUGUGACUGCAUGGCUCGAGUGCGGCAGAGGGGGAUGGAAUUCCGCGUGUAGCAGUGAAAUGCGUAGAUAUGCGGAGGAACACCGAUGGCGAAGGCAAUCCCCUGGGCCUGCACUGACGCUCAUGCACGAAAGCAUGGGGAGCAAACAGG